UGCAUGUGGUACCUGAUGGAUGGAUAUGGU
rnacentral:piRNA from 1 species